rnacentral:lncRNA from 1 species
GUCAAACACGGAUGCUGAACCUAUGCUGCCAGGUUUCCAACUGAAGAGCCCAAACUUCUACUUAGAAAGAAAACAGGUCCAGAGAAGUUACAAAAGAAGCAACCUGUUGAAGACCAAAUGGAGAACUGAUAAUGGAGCAGAAUUAGAACUGAUGUCUCUUAGCAACAAAGCUAAUCUGUUUUCCAUGACCUAUAUCUACCAUUAUUUCUAUGGGUGAAAAACAGAGGUUUAAAUUGACCUCCAAAACUUGCCUUCAUGUCAGAGUCAGAGGUCUUAGAAUCCAAUAUUGAUUGAGAGUUCUCCAGUGAGCAAGAUGUGUGAGACGUUUGAAGUGCUGCCACACAGGUAUUAGGA